rnacentral:rRNA from 1 species
CCUACGGGGUGCAGCAGUGAGGAAUAUUGGUCAAUGGUCGGGAGACUGAACCAGCCAAGCCGCGUGAGGGAGGAAGGUACAGAGUAUCGUAAACCUCUUUUGUCAGGGAACAAAGGCGGGGACGUGUCCCCGGAUGAGUGUACCUGAAGAAAAAGCAUCGGCUAACUCCGUGCCAGCAGCCGCGGUAAUACGGAGGAUGCGAGCGUUAUCCGGAUUUAUGGGGUUUAAAGGGUGCGCAGGCGGUCUGUUAAGUCAGCGGUCAAAGCCCGGGGCUCAACCCCGGCCCGCCGUUGAAACUGGCAGUCUCGAGUUGGAGAGAAGUAUGCGGAAUGCGCGGUGUAGCGGUGAAAUGCAUAGAUAUCGCGCAGAACUCCGAUUGCGAAGGCAGCAUGCCGGCUCCACACUGACGCUGAGGCACGAAAGCGUGGGUAUCGAACAGGAUUAGAUACCCGGGUAGUC